rnacentral:rRNA from 1 species
GACAGAGGGUGCAAACGUUGUUCGGAAUUACUGGGCGUAAAGCGUGUGUAGGCGGCUACGUAAGUCGGAUGUGAAAGCCCCAGGCUCAACCUGGGAAGUGCACUCGAUACUGCGUAGCUUGAGUAUCGGAGAGGUUGGUGGAAUUCUCGGUGUAGAGGUGAAAUUCGUAGAUAUCAAGCGGAACACCGGUGGCGAAGGCGGCCUUCUGGACAGUGACUGACGCUGAGACGCGAAAGCGUGGGGAGCAAACAGG